rnacentral:misc_RNA from 1 species
ACACUUUGUUCUUUUUUUUGUUGUUUCGGCUUUUAACCAAAGCUGAACCGCAAAAAAAACAAACAUCCAAUUACCCAACAUUUUGAAGCAGUGCUUGUAGGAUAAAACGUUUUUUACUAAAAAACGUUUGUCCUCAAUUUCUCACCUAAUUUUUUUCACAACAAAACCCCAAACAACCAUUUAAACUAUUUUUGAAACUCAAAAAAUAACUACUAACGUUAACCAAA